GCCUAGUUAGCAUAAAAGUAAUGUGGCUGUUUUGUAACCAGCAUAAACAAGUGCGAUACUUGUACUGGGCU
rnacentral:tRNA from 1 species